rnacentral:rRNA from 1 species
AGAGUUUGAUCCUGGCUCAGAACGUACGCUGGCGGCACGCCUAACACAUGCAAGUCGAACGAAGUAGCAAUACUUAGUGGCAGACGGGUGAGUAACAUGUAGGUAUCUGCCCUUUGGCCUGGAAUAACACGAGGAAACUUGUGCUAAUACCGGAUAAGUCUUUACGGAGAAAGCUUUAUGCACCAUUGGAUGAGCCUGCACUUGAUUAGUUUGUUGGUGGGGUAAUGGCCUACCAAGACUGUGAUCAAUAGCUGAUUUGAGAGGAUGAUCAGCCACAUUGGGACUGAGACACGGCCCAAACUCCUACGGGAGGCAGCAGUGGGGAAUCUUGCACAAUGGAGGAAACUCUGAUGCAGCGAUGCCGCGUGAGUGAAGAAGGCCCUUGGGUUGUAAAGCUCUUUCGUCGGGGAAGAAAAUGACUGUACCCGAAUAAGAAGGUCCGGCUAACUUCGUGCCAGCAGCCGCGGU